GAUGGAUAGACCCCUCUGGAUGUCUGCCGAAUUCUGGACAGGACUCCAGGCAUACUGGAUACAGGAGGCUGUUCAGGCCGUUUCCCAGCGAGCACGUGCGAACCGGAUGUCUGAGCCCGAUGGACCCGGUACAGGGAUCAGCAGGCACGUGGGAGGGUCUCAGUCCACUCGUAUCCUGCAGCAGAGUCUGAGCUUGGAGAUUGGACUCCCCCCGGCUGCACAGAACUAUAGCACCUUCCUCCGCCUCCACAUGCGCGAGGAUUGAACUUUUCUAUCACCGAGGGAUGAGAGACUAGAUGCGGAGAUUCGUCGCAUUGCUGUUGAGACUGGGCGAGAGGACCGGCUGCCUGAGAUCUACUUGGAGGUCGUACGGCCCGACAGGUCCCGGCUCUACGGCACUGGAAGUGCUGGUAGGAGCCAGGUUAGUAGGGGGUCUUCUCAAAGCACAGGCACUUCCAUGAUGUCUCAGCAGCUGUAUGAGACACGGAUCUCCACGCUGGAAGAGCGCCUUCAGGCCGGACAAGCAGCACGUGAGGCCGAACGAGAGGCUUCUCGAGCAGAAUGUGAGGCCCUCGAGCAGCGUAUGGCUCAAUUCGAGGAGUUCAUGAGGCGGUCGGGUCAGCUACCUUGAGCAGCACUUCAUGUUUUGGAACUAUUAAUUUUAUGUUUUGGACUAUUUAAUUCAUGUUUUGGAACUAUUUGUUUGAACUAUGUUUAGGAACAAAAUUACACUUGCACUUUCUUUUUACA